rnacentral:rRNA from 1 species
GACGAACGCUGGCGGCGCGCCUAACACAUGCAAGUCGAACGGAGCUGAGAGAAGCUUGCUUUUCUUAGCUUAGUGGCGAACGGUUGAGUAACGCGUGAGUAACCUGCCCUGGAGUGGGGGACAACAGUUGGAAACGACUGCUAAUACCGCAUAAGCCCACGAUCCGGCAUCGGAUUGAGGGAAAAGGAUUUAUUCGCUUCAGGAAGGACUCGCGUCCAAUUAGCUAGUUGGUGAGGUAACGGCCCACCAAGGCGACGAUUGGUAGCCGGACUGAGAGGUUGAACGGCCACAUUGGGACUGAGACACGGCCCAGACUCCUACGGGAGGCAGCAGUGGGGGAUAUUGCACAAUGGGGGAAACCCUGAUGCAGCGACGCCGCGUGGAGGAAGAAGGUUUUCGGAUUGUAAACUCCUGUCGUUAGGGACGAUAAUGACGGUACCUAACAAGAAAGCACCGGCUAACUACGUG